GAGUGAUUUUAUGUAAGGUAACGCGAGAUAUUAGUGCGGUUCAAUCAAAUAGUCGUCCUCUUAACUCAUGGAGAUCGGUGUUGUUCGAUUGAGCCGUGCCAAUAUCACGCGGUAAACCAAAAUGGCAAAGAUCGAUC
rnacentral:pre_miRNA from 1 species